AGUGAACGCUGGCGGCGUGCCUAAUACAUGCAAGUCGAACGGAGUGGCGCACGGGUGUGUAAUGUAUAGCUAAUAUGCCCUACACUAGAGGGCAACAGAUGGGAACGGCUGCCAAUUAUCGCUAGUGUAGGAUGAGGGUAUAUUGGAUCAUCUAGUUGGUGAGGGAAUGGCUCACCAAGGUUAUGACGCACAACUGGUCUGAGAGGAUGAUCAGUCACACUCGAACUGAGACAGGAUCCAGGCUCCUACGGGAAGGAGCAGUAGGGAAUAUCGCCCAAUGGGGGAAAACCUGAAGCAGCAACGCGGCGUGGAGGAUUACACGUUUCGGAGCGUAAACUCCUUUUGUUAGGGACGCGGUACCUAACGAAUAAGCACCGGCUAACUCCGUGCCAGCAGCCGCGGUAAUAC
rnacentral:rRNA from 1 species